rnacentral:rRNA from 1 species
UACGGAGGGGGCUAGCGUUGUUCGGAAUUACUGGGCUUAAAGCGCACGUAGGCGGCUUUGUAAGUUAGAGGUGAAAGCCCGGAGCUCAACUCCGGAAUUGCCUUUAAGACUGCAUCGCUAGAACGUCGGAGAGGUGAGUGGAAUUCCGAGUGUAGAGGUGAAAUUCGUAGAUAUUCGGAAGAACACCAGUGGCGAAGGCGACUCACUGGACGACUGUUGACGCUGAGGUGCGAAAGCGUGGGGAGCAAACAGG